rnacentral:rRNA from 1 species
CGUUUUCCGUUUUCGGUGGAGGGCGGCGGCACGAAAGAGGUGGAUGGGGGUAAGGGGGGUGUAUCCCGGUCGAGGGCGGCGAGCCUCAGCCCUAGUGCGAGGGGUUUAGGGGGUGGGAUCGGAGCGAGCGGGGCUUCAGUUUGUUGUCUGUUGCGUAAAGGAGCUUGUGGAUCGGAGGGAGGUACCGGUGGAGGCGGGAGCGGUGGGAGAGCCGGUGGCGGCGGCGGCGCCCCCGGUCCGCGCAGGAGGAGAGCGCGCCGGGGAGGAGGGAGAGGAAGCGGAGGGCGGCGGAGCGCAGGCGCCCGGGGGAGGCGCGGCCCGGGGACGGGGCGCGCCGCUGCGCCCGGGAGAGGCGCUGGCGCAGGGGCCGGCGGUGUUGCUGGUAGCGCCAGCCGCUGGCCGAGGGGCUGCGCUGCGACAGGAUGAAGCUGCGGGGGCUGCCGCUCGACUUCUGCCACUGCCAGGCGCUGGAGUGGCGCCCGUUCUUCCACCAGGACAAGCGCCAGGGCCCGCGCAAGUGCGGGUGGACGUGGGUCUUCGUGGAGGGCCCCAAGCACCGGUCCCGGCCCCUCGAGGCGCGGUUCCCCCACCUGUGGCACCGGACACAGAGGCAGUUGCUGCGCAAGCACUACGCGCGCACCUUCCUCUCGGAGCCGCAGCCGCUGCUCCACGACGACGACAGCCUGCCGUUGCCCCUCGACUGCGCGCGGUACCCGCACCUCGACCUGGACAGCCUGUUCGGCCACCCCGAGCCGCAGGCCAGCGCGGCGAUGCGCGACGACCGGCUGCUGCCGCACCAGUUCCACGAGUUGGAGCUCCUCCCGCCGCGGAAGUGGUUGUCGUCGCGGCUCCUGUACGAGUUCCGCGAGACUCCGGACUUGGCGCGGGGGGAGGCGAGAGCGGUACCGGCAGCUCAGCAGCAGCCGAGCCAUACAUGGUUCCCUUCUUAAGACCGUUAACUUUUAGACCUGAACUUUUUCGAUGCAGUUCGAUGGAUAAGACGUGUUGAGGUUUACUCGACUUGAAGGGCUCCUAAAAAAUACCUUAUAAAUUCUUAAUAAUUUCGUUUAUUCACGCUCUCUUCCUGAAAGCCCUGCUUCUUAGCGGCGGAGCUCCGCUUUUAACCCGUCCUCGUGAAAACGGGAGGCCGCCUCGCUAAGGCGGCCCCCUUAAGGGGAGGGCCUCCCCUUUUAGUAGCAGCAGUAGUGGUGGUUGUUGAGAGGGUAAAACCCCUACCGAUAGAAGUAGUUGUAGAAGUGUCGUGGUUGAGGAGAGUUUGGGAUCAAGUAGAGAACACAAGCUACAAACAUAGUUUUGAUAUCUAACCACGAACACCCACUGAUCAUCACAACUAAUGUAGAACAGCAACUAAUGAUAUACAAAAUAAACCACCUUCUAAUAUACAAGUCUAGGUAAUACGAUAAAUUAUGGGGAGACUAUAACUCGUAAAAUAGUAAACACUCAUCA